rnacentral:lncRNA from 1 species
GAAAGUUUUGUGGGUCAGGGAAAAUAAAGAAUAAUACAACACAAGUAAUUUUGUAACAAGGGUUACUCUCCUUGUUCUUAUAAGUUUUUCGAAGAAAAGGUAUUUUUCAAAUCCAUAUUUCAUUUAACUUUGUGUAGAAUUUCGAACAUUGAAAACGGUUUCAAAGCGACCUUCCUUUAAUGGAUGAUGUUACGAUGAUAAGAUAUACCUGGAAAUAUACAGUAAUCUAUUACGUCGUAAAGCCAUUCUAGCAAUCAGCGGCUAUUGACUUGCAAUAGGGACGCUAGUAUUUCACAAGUAGAGUAAGGACACUUUACCCUAUUAUAGAAAUAACACUUAGGCUUGAAUAUAAGAAAUUAAUAGUUUCUCGUCUAACCAUACAAAUACUAAACAAGCAAUGGCUCUGCUGACGGAUUCUUACAUUUUACCAUUUCCGUUCAUUCAAACUCGUUUGCAUAUUAAAAUAUACUAUUGAACCUAUGGAUAUGAAUUUUAUAAGAAACAGAAUAUUUAGGCGCAUAGCCGUUCUGUCACCUUACAUGACAUUACUUACCACUGUGGCGACAGUACACUGAUGAACUCAAAUUCUUCUUAUAACAAUUCCAGGUCUGUACUUUGUAAAUAUCAACUGUAAUACUUCUGUUUGGACUACUAACCACGCCUCUGCUAGUGUGAUUGUUAUGACGUCAUAUCACGUGACACAUCGUUGUUGAGGAAGUAGAAUACACCGCGCGUCCAGAUCGUAUUUCCCGCGCGCAUAACUAUAAACUUCAUUUACAGCUAGCUUGACAGGGUCAACAGAGACUGGGCGCUGGCGAACUGGUAGUCGUAUCAAGAUUGAUUGAAGUCACUUAAAAUCCAAUAUGUCUGUCUGCAGUCAAUGAGACGAUCAGCAUGUUCAGCUUGUUCUCAAAGAGUUGACUUCAGCAUCUCAGUCUACAAGCAGUCUGCAUGGUUUGUACAAAAUAUUGUGAUGACGGUUUGCGCUGGUCAAGGGGAGAUAACUCUUCUGGGACAGAUGAAAGCUAAUUUGUCUUCAGUUUGAUUUCAAGAGCUUCUUGACGUCCGUCCACACUCCUGUUUGGCCUGGUGAUCGAGUUGGACACUGCCGACAGACGAUGUUCCAUGGAUUAGCGGGAAAACAAGUGGAAUCCUGCUGCGUCGUCUGCUGGGAGCACGUGGGCCUGAUGGUGGGGUUGGGCAGAAGCUCCCGAGGGACGGCAAACGGGUUGGAGAGUCACCUCCCUUCUUCUCUGAUGAAGCGGUCUUCUUAGAAGAGAUGACUAUCUUGUUGUUGUCUGUGAUUGGCGGCAGAGCUGUGGUCUGCACAUCUCUAGUUUUAUCCGUGUCCGACCGUCUUCGCUUGUGACCUUCACCCGGAGAAGGUGGCACCCAAGGGGUCAUUGCUGCCUUAGUCUCCUCGUUUACACGCAUGUGUCCAUCAGCAUCUAAGUUUUGGGUCUUGAAUUUGUGGUUUUCUCUCUCAAGGCGAGUAAUUGCAUCCUGCAUCCGCUUCAUCUGUCUCUGGUAGGUUUGCAGUGUCUGGACUUGAGCCUUGAGGUCGUUGAUCUCAGCCUGGUCCAUGGUCCAGCUGAGUUUGUAGUUGUUGUAUUCGACCCGGCAGUGUUUCAGAUCCUUCUCAAUCUGAGCGUUCUUCUAUUUCUCCAGACGGAGUUCCUUCAUUGUGGCCUCCAGCUGCUGGCUGUAGUCCUCGUUGAGGCUCAUGAGAUGCUGCACAAAGCUGCAACACGGAGAAGGAACGUCCGGAUAUAGUAUGGAAAUAGAUGGAUUUUCUGUUGUUUUCCCUUAACAUAAAUAAUCAAAAUGUGUUCAAGUCUUUAAACAGAAAGUGUUUUGUUUGACGUGUGACAACCCACCUUUCUUCUACGUUGAUUGUUUGGCUCUUUGGACUUUCCCUACUAUUCAGUGAAUUGUUGACUCCAGACUGAACCCUACUUUUCUCUGUGUCAUCUAUGGCUUGACUACCCGUGUCAGCAUCUGAAGGGUUCACAGUGGUACAUUCGUAAAAAGUUUGUUAUAUGGCACUGUAAUUGAUUGUUAAACAAUUCUGUAAUUGUAUUAGAUAACCUAAGAUUGUUUCUGUUUAGUUUCAGUUGCAGUUCAUAGCAUUGUGAUUUGACAAUGGUUAGUUGUCAGGAAUGUAUUACUACCUUAUGUAAGCAGUUGUGUGGAAGUUAGUAUAUUUAGAUGCUUUUGGGGUCACGUGUAAUCUGGAAACUUCUAGAACAGCUGGAAUAAUCUGGCACUGUAUAGAACCUUCUAGAAGGUAUUUAACCCACAUAAGGGUCCAAAUGCGUGUAUCUGUCAUCUCACAUUACAUCAAGACCAGCGGUUGAGUAAAGAUCGUGUUUUCACCCUGGAUAUCCACCCUAGGCCUAUUUUGGAAGCUUGACCUCUGUUGCUUAUCAGCAAAUAUUAUUAUCGCUGCACUGAAAAAAUAGUUUAAGUUUACUCACACUCAGACACUGACGUGUUAGUAGACUUUACGAAUCAGUUAAUAUUCUUUUAAUGGGUGGCCUAUCGUUAUUAACUAAAAAAAGGUUAAGUUAAAAUCAGAAAUACUUUCAUUGACGGCUUCCUGUAUGAGAGAAAUACUAUCAGACAUACAACAACACAUUACCAUACCUCUUGAUUUGUAGUCCGUCACGCUACCACAUGUGCUGCGGAGACUGUUGACGCCACAAGUUUCCAUUUUUCACGUCACCAUUAGCUUGGUUUAUUUGUACAUUUUUAUGUUAAUAUUUAACCAAGUCUUACCAAGUUCUGGUGGUAUAUGUGUUAUGCAAGUGCCUGUGAAUCUGAUUUCCACAUCUAAUUUCAAUAUAUAUAUAUUAUACAUCCCAUCCAUAUUUGACUUAUAGUCUGAUGAUAUACACUUUAUUAAACAUGUUUAAAGAUGUUUAAAUUCAAAACAUGUUUAAAGGUGUUUGAACGCUAAACACGAUAGCUCUUUUCAUGUGUUUAGACCCUAAAGGUGUUUAGAUAGGACACACUAAAUGUGCACACCGUUUAGGAUUGAAACACAUUCCUAAAUAUGUCUUGUGUGUGUUUAGAUUCUUAACACAUUUUUACAGUGUGGUUAAGUAAUGAAUUAUACUAAUUUAAUAAGUGAUAUUCACUAAUCAUCUUGUGCAGUUCACCAGGCAGGAUAGUAAAUUCGGUGUUAACUAAACUUCUGACCGCUGUUACUUAUUAAGUUAGGAGAAGACACUUGGCUUUUUUCUCAGUGUGUCUGCUAUUACCACUGCUGUAUUUCAUGCUGUCAUUGUAAUUGCACUGCCACUUUAUUGUGUACUGCCAUUGCAAUAACUUUGCAGCAUUUUGUAUUGAUUUGUAAACCUAGUUAAUUCUAUAAUACAAUUUUUAAUUUUGUAAGA